UUGCAGCAUCAAACUAACAGGUGUUAUCGUCUUUGUAAUAAAUUACCUUACUCAGGAUCAAGAGUCUCUGGCUGUGCUAUAGUUGGCUCCAGCCCGACCGUACUCUCUAACUAUGGUUAACCUCAUAGGUCAAAUCUCUAAAGAUGCUUAAGAGGAAUAUCACAAUGGAAGCCAAUGAUGAUUUUGUGGGUGGAUUUGGGAUGCAGCCCACGCAGCCGUCGGACAAUAGGCGCAGGAUGCACGAGGUCCAGCUGCAGCUAUGAUGCAGCCAACGAAUGACAAGUGAGUGGCAUCAUCAGCCAUUGCACUUGUUCAUUAGAUGAGCGGUACAUUUUAAACGUGCCCAGCAACGUUUGCAGUGCUGCUGGUGAUAAGGCCACCAAAGCGUUUGAGGAAUUCCUGGCCGUCAGUGGAAUGGAAUAUGACGACUUUGCCGAGUUCUAUGGCAACUUGGCAACAAAGGACUUCACCAUCGCGACCACGCUCCUCAUGCCAUGGCUGCACACCUGGGCAGCACCAAACCCAAGCAACAACCCAAA
rnacentral:lncRNA from 1 species